rnacentral:miRNA from 1 species
UAGGAUGGGGGAAGAUGAGACAC